UACGGGGGGGGCAAGCGUUGUUCGGAAUUACUGGGCGUAAAGGGUUUGUAGGUGGCUCGCUAAGUCAGACGUGAAAUCCCUCGGCUCAACCGGGGAACUGCGUCUGAGACUGGCGAGCUCGAGUGCAGGAGAGGAACGCGGAAUUCCAGGUGUAGCGGUGAAAUGCGUAGAUAUCUGGAGGAACACCGGUGGCGAAGGCGGCGUUCUGGACUGCAACUGACACUGAAAAACGAAAGCCAGGGGAGCAAACGGG
rnacentral:rRNA from 1 species